rnacentral:lncRNA from 1 species
UUUUAUUUUAUUUUUAGCACAACCACUUGACAAAAAAAUAGGCUACCUUGUGAGUGAGUGAGUAUUCGUUAACCCCUUUGUGCCUUAGUAUCAAAAUCUAUAUCAAUUUUAAAUUGUGUGAUUUCUCCUUUGGACGCAAAGAGUAGUUAAUCAUUGAGAUUGGAUUCUGAGUGUUUUCUUGAACCUUCAAACAUGAAUUGUGUUUUGAAUUUUUAACCUUGCCUUAGAAUUAUGUUAGAGAGUUGUGCUAAAAGGUUGGUUGCUAAGAGGUUGAGAAAGAAAAAGAAAAAUUCGAAAAAAAGAAAGAAAAGAAAAGUGAAAAAUCAAAGAAAAAAGAAAAAGUCUUGAAAAAGAUUAAAAAAAAAGAUCAAAUGUUUUAUGCUAAUAAGUUAUGUUAAAGGGUGUAGCAAUUGAGUAAAGAGAAAGAUGAAUGAAAUUUGUGAAUGCUUGAGAUUGUGAGAAAUGAUCACUCUCAUUUGAUUAGGCAAGUUUUUGUUUCAAUUACCUUUGUAUAUGACC